GUGUUUCAGGUGUAUCAGUAUGAAGCAGGCGGUGACGGCGCACUGAUUCACUCUCGGAGCUCGGUUCACUAAUGACCGAAUCACCGGGGAACCGACCAAAGAUAUCUCACCCCCGCACAGAGAAGAAGAACGAGAGGAGGAGAAGAUGAGCUGGAGUGGGGCAAAGAGAACUGCAUUCAGAUCAAAUGGUGGCUGAGUUGUUUGAGGAUCUGAAGAAUUGAGUGUCACAAUUCAACAUGCACAUCAGCGAAACUUCCUCUCCCUCUGACUACACCAGCACGCACACACAGAAAUUCAUAGUGCAGGUGGCGAUUGCAGGCGCAUUUUAUCCGAACUGCUUCCUCCAGGGAACUGUGGACGAGGAGCUCGCCUCCAAGGAGCUCUAUGGAAACGACCCCAGGACCACCGUAGUGGUGUGUGAUCUCCCUCCAUUUGCAUUCCUCUACUAUAAACAGCUCCAGUCUCUCUUCAGACACUGUGGUUAAGUCAAAUCCAUCUCCUUUGACAGCUCCAGAGCCUAUGUAGAGUUCUACCGCUCGUCAAUGAGAGGUUCUGGCGUUCUCCCAGAGGUCUCUCUGUCUCUCCUCCUCGCGCAGCAGAGACUUCCUCUCCAUCUCAACGUUUAACCCGCUGGAGAGGUGGAGACUUGGGCAGGGGGGUAGUGUAUCUCACACCUCAGAUAUACACGGGUGAAUGUGGAUUUUCAGAAUCAGUCAGUGAGCCCUUUCGGGGUUCUGAGCAGCUCCAUUGAGUUGGAGAAUCUUCCGUCUAACCCUGUCUUUAUCGUCAAUAUCACCGAGGUGUCUCUUCCGCCUCUUUCACUUUCAGUGCACAAAUAAAAAAAAAAAAGCAGUGGCUCCUGUGUGUGUGUGUGUGUGUGUGUGUGUGUGUGUGUGUGUGCACUAACAGGAUUUUAAUGUGUGUGUGUGUGUGUGUGUGUGUGUGUGUGUGUGUGGGUCAUCAAAGUCGGGCAUUUCUGGGGUUUCCAGGCUCACGAGGCAAGUCUGGAGAAACAGAGGUGGCUGACAGUGGCCGUUAAUACACGGGCGCUCUGCCCACUCCCUGUCUCACUUUAUCCAAAUCUUCUGUGUCUCGCCCCUUUCUCUGAAACUCACACCAAACCUGGGAACUACUACAGAGCCAAAAUACUGCAUGUCAUGGGGAGUAAUGUGGAGGUGUUCUUUGUGGACUUUGGAAACACUUCCAAGGUGCCAUGUAACUCUCUCUGGAACUUCCUGCUGACCGGCAAGCUCUGCAUUUCACGUAUUGUCUCCAUGGCAACAAUUUAGGCUGUAAACAUUAAACACUUAAUCUCCAACAACACGUAGUUAAUCCAAAAUAGUGUGUACCAGAAGUGUAUAUACUGAGGGGAGUGUGUGUGUGUUUGUUCAGGCUCAGGAGUUCAGCGUGGCGUGUUUGGCAUCAUCGGCACAGUCAGUCAAGAAAGAAUCCACAGUACACUGUACGUAAGGCUUUGCAGCAUCUGGAUAAUUGUACUGUCUGAGAGAGGGUGGGUCACCUCCGUGAACCUUCACUUCCAUCACACUAGUAUCAGCACAGCCACAAUCCUGCUUUGAAUGAACAAAAACACCUCUGAUCUGAUCCAAUCGUUCUGAUCAUUCAGAAUCUUCCAGCGAUAACAAGGUAUGUAAGUCAUAAUCCUCUGCCUUUUUGAUCACAUGUACAGCAGAAAUCUCCACAAGCUAAUCUUUACUCUGAGGAUUACGCCAAAUGCAAUUGUUGCCAUAGUCAAUGAUAUAGCCACGCUUAGUCAUAAUGUGUGAACCUAAUAUACCGCGACCAUCACCAC